GGGAGAAUGGCUGAGCGGCUACAGGCAAUAGACUGUAAAUCUUUUGAAGCGGUUCUACAGGGGGGUCCGGAUCCCUUCUCACCCA
rnacentral:tRNA from 1 species